rnacentral:lncRNA from 1 species
UGCAUCACAUUGCUAUGAUGGUUCUGUUCCAUUUAGAGUUGGCCGAGGGAGAGGGGAGAUGGAUUUUGAUUCAAGAAACCAGCGGACCUGGGAUAGGUGCAGGGAAUGGUAAUUCCCACCCCGAACCCAACUUGAUCUAUAUAAUCUUACACCCUUUGCUACAUUUCCCUGCCCACCCGCCCUUCUCUCGAGUUGCUCAUCCAAUCGUUCCAUCUCUUUCCACUCCUCAAAC